rnacentral:lncRNA from 1 species
AGGUGGUGAGCUAUGGAUUUUGUUUUGGAAACAAAAAAUGUUUCCAGUUUUUGGCCCUGAAAAAAAAAUUGUUUGUUUCACCCUACUGAGCUGCCACUAUAUAUAAUGCUAAAAUUGAUUUCGACUUGUCACCAAAAUUUGUCCUGAAAAAAAACAAUAGCUCACGCCCCCUCCCCCUCCACAAAAAAUGAAGUAAAUAGUUGCUGCCUAAUUCAUUUGAAAAGGUCUUCCCGAAUCGACUUGACGUACACAGAAAUAUUCGCCACUGGUCUUUACUCAAAAAACGAUUCACGCAUAAAUGCAUGACUUAAAAAAGUGUGAGGUAAAUGCUAUGUUUGUCUAGUAUCUCAGUUCUGUUAAAUAACACGUAAAAU